rfam:Butyrivibrio fibrisolvens DSM 3071 genome assembly, contig: EJ22DRAFT_scaffold00005.5
CAGUUCGGUCCCUAUCCGGCGCGGGCGUAGGAUAUCUGAGAGGAGCUGUCCUUAGUACGAGAGGACCGGGAUGGACGGACCGCUGGUGUAUCUGCUGCGAAGGCAAUCGCAUAAGGCAGGGUAGCCAAGUCUGGCAGGGAUAAACGCUGAAGGCAUCUAAGCGUGAAGCCCCCCUCAAGAUGAGAUAUCCCCACGCAAGUGGUAAGACCCCUUGGAGAGUACGAGGUUGAUAGGCACAAGGUGUAAGAGUGGUAACAUUCUCAGCUGAUGUGUACUAAUAGGUCGAGGACUUAACCAA